rnacentral:rRNA from 1 species
CCUUGGCCGAGAGGCCUGGGAAAUCUUGGGAAACUCCGUCGUGCUGGGGAUAGAGCUUUGUAAUUUUUGCUCUUGAACGAGGAAUUCCUAGUAAGCGCAAGUCAUCAGCUUGCGUUGAUUACGUCCCUGCCCUUUGUACACACCGCCCGUCGCUACUACCGAUUGAAUGGCUUAGUGAGGCCUCCGGAUUUGCCAGGGCGAGGGCAACCUUGCUUGAGCGGAGAAGCUGGUCAAACUUGGUCAUUUAGAGGAAGUAAAAGUCGUAACAAGGUUUC